AUUGAACGCUGGCGGCAGGCUUAACACAUGCAAGUCGAGCGGUAGAGAGAAGCUUGCUUCUCUUGAGAGCGGCGGACGGGUGAGUAAUGCCUAGGAAUCUGCCUGAUAGUGGGGGAUAACGUCCGGAAACGGACGCUAAUACCGCCUACGUCCUACGGGCGAAAGGGGGGGCUCCUCGGACCUCACGCUAUCAGAUGAGCCUAGGUCGGAUUAGCUAGUUGGUGGGGUAAAGGCUCACCAAGGCGACGAUCCGUAACUGGUCUGAGAGGAUGAUCAGUCACACUGGAACUGAGACACGGUCCAGACUCCUACGGGAGGCAGCAGUGGGGAAUAUUGGACAAUGGGCGAAAGCCUGAUCCAGCCAUGCCGCGUGUGUGAAGAAGGUCUUCGGAUUGUAAAGCACUUUAAGUUGGGAGGAAGGGUCGUUACCUAAUACGUGGCGAUUUUGACGUUACCGACAGAAUAAGCACCGGCUAACUCUGUGCCAGCAGCCGCCGUAACAC
rnacentral:rRNA from 1 species